rnacentral:lncRNA from 1 species
UCAUGGUACAGAAACGAAUGUCACAUCUUUAAUAUAUAUAAUAGGAGUUAAACAAUUACAUCAUAAGAAGACAAUGAUCCUACACAACCAUAGUUGACUGGGAGACGACGGCCUAAACCUCUCAUGAACUCAUCACGACAUCCUUCGUGCUCCUUAUCUUGUGGUACAUGUCCUUGGCCUGGGGGGAUGUGAGUACAACAAGGGUGAGCUCACAUAUGUUCAUCGCUCAACAAGUUGUGAGGAAUAAGAGAAAAUUCCUUCAAUGCCAUCCAAAUUUAUACCAAUCCCUUCAAUGCCAUUAGAAUUUAUAGCUUCCCUUCAAUGCCAUCAAUUUUAAAUUUUAAUCCUUGGAAUGCCAUCACAUUUAGUUUGAAGCUAACGUCGUUAGUUCUAUUUAAAGCAAAUCCCUCCAAUGCCAUCAAAAUCUAUACCGAUCUCUUCAAUGCCACUAGAAAUUGGUUCGGUCUAUUUGGGUUUUAUAAAAUUCAGAAUAAAAAAAUAUUUGAACACAAAAUACCACAUUGAUUUUAAAAUGUAUCUCCCUUUGUUAUCAUUAGUGUUUGUUGUUAGUCUAGAAAAAAUAUUAGAAAUCAAAAUAGACCGAACUGAUAUAGCGGAGUAAUUUUUGGUGUUUACAAAAAAAUAUGUACUAAAGUUUUUAAAAAUCGUGGAAUUGGUCCAUAUUUUUUUAUUAUGUAAUUUUUAAAACCCAAAUUGAUCAAACCAAUUUCUAGUGGCAUUGAAGGGAUCGAUAUAGAUUUUGAUGGCAUUGGAGAGAUUUACAUUAAAUAGAACUAACGAUGUUAGUUUCAAUCUAACGGCAAUGGCGUUUAAGGGAUUAAAAUUUAAAUUUGAUGGCAUUGAAGGGAAGCUAUAAAUUCUGAUGGCAUUGAAGGGAUUAGUAUAAGUUUGGAUGGCAUUGAAGAGAUUUUCUCAAGGAAUAAUGUGCAUGAGCUCACUUAUGGUGGGGGCUCAUGUGAAGUGUAAGGCUUACCAAAGGAGAUGAUUAAAGUUGAGCGCUGCUUUUAAAGUUGAUCAAUGUUUUAUUAGCAGUUACUAAGUAUAAGUAGAUACUAACCAGAAUAGACCCACAAUGCAAUGCAUAUGAUAGAUUAAGUUUAGUUCCAUAAGUUAAUCAUGCGAGUGUCCUAAGUCGCUCUUGACAGUGAGCAUGACUGAUAUACCAGUGUUACAUUCUGUUGAGGUUGCGCAUCUUUACCCACAAGACGUGUUUCUUGAUUAGCCAAGGUUAGCUAGACCCUUAGAAACUUCCAAGGUGAAUGGCUAGGGAUCCACUGCGAGGCCUUUCUAAAGUUCCACUAGUUUGAGAAACCCCGCUACGGAUUCAGGAAGAAGGCAGCAUGGGAAUCCCUCAUCCGAAAAGCUUUACCAACAGUUCGACCCGAGGACCUCCCUAUACUCUGUAGCGACGCCUCCCUGCUUUCCCCUUUCGGGUAAGGUAAUCUCUCCCUAGCUUUCCUAAUUACUUGACCAAGGGCGUCCCAUUCCACCCUUGUGGUAGCACUGUUAUCGCAAGUUAAGCUCCAUGUUCCAAUUAACUUAAUAGUCUUGAUAUGAAUAAUAAUUAAAUCAACAGCAAAAUUGGAACAUGAUCAUAAUUUAGAUGUAACAUUAAUCCCAAAACUUGGUAGAGCAAUAGCAAGUCUACCCAAUAGUUCACAUGUUUGCAAGGCGUGGGGUAAACAAAACUAGGGCAACCUAUUGUGUCGCAUCAAAUUAGCCUGAGGUUGUCACAGUGAUUAACAUAGAACAUUAUUAGGUAAAGAAGAGUGAUCAAGGGCACAACUUGCCUGUGAGUUGAGAUUCUAGGUACUUCACCAAGUUGGUCUCCGGGUUUCUCGUGACCUCGCCUCUACUCGUAAGAAUACAUACAAAUAGACAAGGAGUUCAUAAAAAUAACAGUACACCAAACAUGAGAACAAACAACGUUAGAAUAUUCUACGCGUUGCUACGAGAAUGUAGGUUUGAGAAUUACUAAAAUUGGAGUUGCAGUGAAAAAGAUAUGAAUUUCUGAAGUUUUAGGUGAUUAAAUAAUAAAACUAUAUUCUAUGUUCUUUAAUAUACAUCUUCUGAGAGAAAUAUUACAAAGAUAUAACCAAUUCAAUCUAUAAUCAAUACUAUAACAUGUUUGGAAGUACUAUUUUAAUAUAGUUAUAGAUAAAACAUUAACUUUUAAUUAGAAAAGUAAAUCUAAUGAGCAUCAUUUAAUUAUAUCUGAAAACAUGAUGAAAUAAUAUUGUUUAAUGCGUAGACAAUUUUAAUACGAAGCUAAUGUGACUUGAAUGGGUCAAAACGAUGUAAAAAUGAGCAAAAUAAGAAUUUUCUAAGUUUUUACAUUUAUCUUGCUACUAGAAAUCAUUUUUUGGAUUUAUUAUAGGAACAACUACAGUCCCUAGACGGCGGCUAUAAAAUCUCAAGAACACGGGGUCAAUAUUAUUAAGUCUUUUACCUAAUGGUAACAUUCUAAGUAUUGUUCAAGGCCAGGGGUUUAUUUGUAACAAACCCAGGGGCUCAUUUGCACUCUUCUUCAGCCGAAGGGGUUUCCGUAGAGAUGAGCCGCACGAUCUAAAAUAGACGGCCAGGAUUAAAUCUGCCUUAAAGUGAACCGAUAUCAACCACUCGAUUUGAGAUCCAUUCCUAUUCACAGCCGUAGCAUCACGCAUCUAUGGUUUGGAUCAAAACACAUGAAACGUUAUACGUUCAUCUAAUCCUGCACGUUGGCUGAAGAUCCAAAGGCUGGCAAGUGUCUUCCUUCGCUGACCGAGCUGAGUGGCGGCACGUGCCGCUCCACACUGCGGAGACUUACCAGCGACGACCAUCCAUCGAUCAGGCGACCCAAUCUGAGCCACCUAAGGCGCAACACGAAAUAGAUAACAUGGCAAACACGUGGAAGGAGAUCUUACCGGGGUUCAUGAAGCGGGUAGCACCACCCACAGCGCGAAGCGGUUUGGCGGUGAUUUCCUUGCCCCAGCGAUGAAUCCCAGUCAUGAUUAACCCCAUCCGGACUCAGUGAGGCCACGGAUAGGUGUGGUGCGCACAGGCGAUGCUCAUAUGCCACGAGCCGAGGUUGAAGCGACGACGGGAACGCAAUCUCACUGCAGCAGUGGCGUGAAUCGUUGUGGCGAGGUGCUCCCGGUGGUGGAGUAAAGCUCCCUGGUGUUGGCUCAUGGGGGGUAUGGGUUAUAUACCCCGGUGGCGCCCAAAGUCCGAGCUAGAGCAAGCAGCGAGAUCUGCGGCGGUCUGGUGAGACUCCGGUGCCGAUCGCGUGAGCUAUGCAGGAUGUCGCGGGAAUUGGUUGGAGGGGAUGGGGAUGAAUCUGACCGUGAGGGCCCACAAGCCAACGACUGACCUUGCGCAC